UACAGAGGUCUCGAGCGUUUGUUCGGAUUCAUUGGGCGUAAAGGGUGCGUAGGCGGCGGGGUAAGUCUGAUGUGAAAUCCCGGGGCUCAACCCUGGAACUGCAUUGGAUACUGCCUUGCUAGAGAGCUGGAGAGGAAACUGGAAUUUACGGUGUAGCAGUGAAAUGCGUAGAGAUCGUAAGGAAGACCAGUGGCGAAGGCGAGUUUCUGGACAGCUACUGACGCUGAGGCACGAAGGCCAGGGGAGCAAACGGG
rnacentral:rRNA from 1 species